GGGGAUUUAGCUCAGCGGCAUAAGCACCUGCCUUGCAAGCAGGCGGUUGUGAGUUCAAUUCCUG
rfam:Cavia porcellus supercont2_332 genomic scaffold, whole genome shotgun sequence.